GCGCAUAUACGGACAGAAUUACAAAAUAACUAGACCUAUUCUCCUUCCUUCAGACUAAAUUUCUUUCGGAAGAGUCUACGUGUGAGGUGGAUUUGGACUGGUUCUCUCAGCUGGAUUGAGGCGUGCUGUAUGGACGGAUUCAUUUUAAAAAAGGUAUGAUGACUUUAGACAUACCUUUUUUAUUAGAAUUUGACCUUACCGUAGAAGUUAAAAUCAUCGUCAAUUAUUAAAUUAAAGGGUAAUUUACGAUUUAGUCCCUGGGUAUUACCAUUAUUAACAAGUCAGUCCCUGUAUUUUUAGAAACCUAUUAAAAUGUCCUUAUGUUUUCUCUCCGUCAACGAAAUAGUCCUUCUGUCUAUUUUUGCCGUUAAAAAUAUAGUAAAAGACUAUAUUACCCCCCAUUAUUUUUCUUCUUCUCCUCCUCCUUCCUUUUCUUCUUCAUCAAUUCUUCUUCCUUCUGCUUCUUCUUCUUCUGCUUCUUCUCCUUCUUCUUCUGCUUCUUCUCCUUCUUCUUCUUUUGCUUCUUUUUCUUCUUUCUCUUCUUCUUCUU
rnacentral:lncRNA from 1 species